rnacentral:rRNA from 1 species
UCCAGCAGCCAUAUCCCCCUGCAGCUCACAGCUGGCAGUCCACUGAAGCUCAGCAGGUGUGAGCCUGGUCAGUACCUGGAUGGGAGGCCUCUUAGGAAAACCUAAGUUUGCUGCUGGAA